rnacentral:misc_RNA from 1 species
UCUCCGUUGGUGAGCCAGCGGAGGGAUCAUUACUGAGUUACCGCUCUACAACCCUUUGUGAACAUACCUAACUGUUGCUUCGGCGGGCAGAGGUCCCUCGCGGAUCUCUCCCGGCAACGCCCUCACGGGCGGAGCGCCCGCCGGAGGAUACCAAACUCUAUUUUAACGACGUUUCUUCUGAGUGGCACAAGCAAAUAAUUAAAACUUUUAACAACGGAUCUCUUGGUUCUG